CUAAGCCAACUUCUCUCUUCUCAGACGCUCCAUUUUCUCUCUGUGGCUCUCAAAUGUCAUUUCUACAAUCUAAUGUCGAGGGGUUUCAGCUCGGUAUCCAUCACUUUCAUACUUCUUUUGACGUUCUUGUUGCUAGUGCUGCCGCUGGUGUUGCCGCCACUGCCUCCGCCGCCGUUGAUAGUUCUUUCUUUACCAGUUCUGAUCAUGUUCUUUCUUAUUGUCUUGGCAUUUUCUCCCAAUCAAACCCCAAAUUUCGCAUUCUUUGCUGUUGAUAAUUCGAUCUAACGCCUUUAGAACUUGCAUUAUCAAUCUUUGAAGAGAAUGUUCUGAUUCAGAGAUCAUGAGGUUCAGAUAUGGAAAAUGUUCAGUCCAGAUUCUAAGAGUUCGUAAGUGAAGGGUUAAAAUACUCUGCAUGUAGAUGCUGUGCAUCUGCACAGCCGAGAUAAAUUGAUAAUCUUGAUUUUUUUUUUGUAUCAAAAUAUUAAAAUAGAAAAGUUGAAGUAAAUAUCUCAUCACAUUUCCCAUAAAGAAGAG
rnacentral:lncRNA from 1 species